rnacentral:rRNA from 1 species
UACGGAGGAUGCAAGCGUUAUCCGGAAUGAUUGGGCGUAAAGCGUCCGCAGGUGGCAAUGUAAGUCUGCUGUCAAAGCGUCUGGCUCAACCAGAUAAAGGCAGUGGAAACUACAUAGCUAGAGUAAGGUAGGGGUAGAGGGAAUUCCUGGUGUAGCGGUGAAAUGCGUAGAGAUCAGGAAGAACACCAAUGGCGAAGGCAGCUCUCUGGGACGGUACUGACGCUGAGACGCGAAAGCGUGGGGAGCGAACAGG